GUGCCUUAUCAUAAACUUAUACUUGUUCUCAUAUGUUCCUCGAAGUUAAGCAAUGUUUGGGCCCGGUCAGUAGUUGGGAGGGUGACCACUUGAGAACACCGGGUGCUGUAAGCU